rnacentral:rRNA from 1 species
GGUUUCCGUANGUGAACCUGCGGAAGGAUCAUUA